rnacentral:rRNA from 1 species
UGGGGGAUAUUGCGCAAUGGGCGAAAGCCUGACGCAGCGACGCCGCGUGGGUGAUGAAGGCCUUCGGGUCGUAAAGCCCUGUCGAGGGGGACGAACCGGCCGCGACCGAAUACGUCGCGACCCUGACGGUACCCCUAAAGGAAGCACCGGCUAACUCCGUGCCAGCAGCCGCGGUAAUACGGAGGGUGCGAGCGUGGUUCGGAAUCACUGGGCGUAAAGCGCGUGUAGGCGGCCUGCUAAGUCUGAUGUGAAAGCCCGAGGCUCACCCUCGGAAGUGCAUUGGAAACUGGCAGACUGGAGUCCCGGAGAGGAGGGUGGAAUUCCUGGUGUAGCGGUGAAAUGCGUAGAUAUCAGGAGGAACACCGGUGGCGAAGGCGGCCCUCUGGACGGUGACUGACGCUGAGGAGCGAAAGCGUGGGUAGCAAAC